rnacentral:rRNA from 1 species
UUUGAUCCUGGCUCAGGACGAACGCUGGCGGUGCAGCCCUAAUGCAUGCAAGUCGAACGGUUCCGAUGGGCUCUCGGACCCGUUGGGAUAGUGGCACGGCUGGCGUGAUGUAACACGUAAUGUGACCUACCCCGCGAGACGGGGGAUAACUUCGGAGAAAUCCGGUCUAAUACCCCGUACGUCCCCCUGGACUACGGUCAGAUGAGGAGAAAGGCUCCGGUCGCUCUGGGAGAGGGCAUUGCGGCCUAUCAGGUAUGUUGGUGGGGUAAUGGCCUACCAAGCCGAAGACGGGUAACCGGUGUGAGAGCAUGAUCGGUCAGAGGGGGACUGAGAUACGGUCUCCACUCCUACGGGAGGCAGCAGCAGGGAAUUUUGCGCAAUGGGCGAAAGCCUGACGCAGCGACACCGCGUGGGGGACGAAGGCUUUCGGGUUGUAAACCCCUUUUCUUGGGGAAGAGAAAGGACAGAUACCUCAGGAAUAAGGAUCGGCUAACUACGUGCCAGCAGCCGCGGUAAUACGUAGGAUCCGAGCUGUUGUCCGGAUUUACUGGGCGUAAGGGUGUAAGUAGGCGGACGGUAAGUCUCAUGUGAAUCUCCCGGUCACUGGGAGGGGUCAUGGGAAAUUGCCGGCUUGAGGGCAGUAGAGGAGAGCGGAAUUCCUGGGAGUAUUUGGUGAAAUGCGUAGAUCCCGGAGGGAACACCCGUGGGCGAAGGGCGGGUCUCUUGAAUUGUGACCUGACGGCUGAGGCAAGAAAGCGUGGGAGCAACCGGAUUAAAUACCCGGGUAGUCACGCCCCUAACUUAUGGAUACUAGGUAUGGGGGGUAUCGACCCCUCCCGUGCCGAAGCUACGCGAUAAGUAUCCCGCCUGGGGAGUACGGCCGCAAGGCUAAAACUCAAAGGAAUUGACGGUCCCCGCACAAGCAGCGGAGCGUGUGGUUUAAUUCGAUGAUAAGCGAAGAACCUUACCUGGACUUGACAUGCUUGUGACCGCCUGUGAAAGCAGGUUUUUCUUCGGAACACAUGCACAGAUGUUGCAUGGCUGUCGUCAGCUCGUGCCGUGAGGUGUUGGGUUAAGUCCCGCAACGAGCGCAACCCUCGUCGUUAGUUACUAUGUCUAGCGAGACUGCUCCUAAAAGGGGAGAGGAAGGUGGGGAUGACGUCAAGUCAGCACGGCUCUUACGUUCAGGGCUACACACACGCUACAAUGGUCUAUACAAAGGGUUGCGACGACGCGAGUCCGAGCUAAUCCCAAAAAGUAGGCCCCAGUUGGAAUUGCAGGCUGCAACUCGCCUGCAUGAACGCGGAGUUGCUAGUAAUCGCAGGUCAGCACACUGCGGUGAAUACGUUCCCGGGGAUUGUACACACCGCCCGUCACGUCAUGGAAGUCGGUAACAUUUGAAGUCGCUGGGCUAACCGCAAGGAGGCAGGUAGGUGCCGAGGGUGGGACUGGUGACUGGGACGAAGUCGUACAAGGUAGCUGUACCGGAAGGUGCGGCUGGAUCACCUCCU